GAUGAACGCUGGCGGCGUGCCUAAUACAUGCAAGUCGAGCGGACAGAUGGUGCUCUUGCUCGGCUGCCGUGAGCGGCGGGCGGGUGAUUCACACGAGUAUAACCUACCUAUAAGACUGAUAUCACUACGCGAGACCGGAUAUAAUACCGGAUCAGAUGUUGAACCGCGGGGUUCAUUGGUCCAAUCCGGUUUUGCUGUCACUUAUAGAGGUUUCCGAGCCGGAUUGGCUAGUUGUUAGGGUAACGGCGUACCAAGGCAACGAUGCGUGGCCGAACUGAGAGGGUGAUCGGUCACACUGGAACUGAGACACGGUCCAGACUCCUACGGGAGGCAGCAGUAGGGAAUAUUCCGCAAUGGGCGAAAGCCUGACGCAGCAAUGCCGCGUGAGUGAUGAAGGUCUUCGGAUCGUAAAACUCUGUUAGUAGGGAAGAACAACUGUGUAAGUAAACAUGGCUGUCUUGACGGUACCUAAUAAGAAAGCACCGGCUAACUACGUG
rnacentral:rRNA from 1 species